rnacentral:rRNA from 1 species
UACGGGGGGGGCAAGCGUUGUUCGGAAUUACUGGGCGUAAAGCGCGUGUAGGCGGCUCGGUAAGUCCGGUGUGAAACCUUGGGGCUCAACCCCAAGCCUGCACUGGAUACUGUCGAGCUUGAGUCCGGGAGGGGAGAGCGGAAUUCCUAGUGUAGCGGUGAAAUGCGCAGAUAUUAGGAAGAACACCGGUGGCGAAGGCGGCUCUCUGGAACGGUACUGACGCUGAGACGCGAAAGCGUGGGGAGCGAACAGG